GACGAACGCUGGCGGCGUGCUUAACACAUGCAAGUCGAACGGAAAGGCCCUGCUUUUGUGGGGUGCUCGAGUGGCGAACGGGUGAGUAACACGUGAGUAACCUGCCCUUGACUUUGGGAUAACUUCAGGAAACUGGGGCUAAUACCGGAUAGGAGCUCCUGCUGCAUGGUGGGGGUUGGAAAGUUUCGGCGGUUGGGGAUGGACUCGCGGCUUAUCAGCUUGUUGGUGGGGUAGUGGCUUACCAAGGCUUUGACGGGUAGCCGGCCUGAGAGGGUGACCGGCGACAUGGGGACUGCGAUACGGACCAGACUCCUACGGGAGGCAGCAGUGGGGAAUAUUGCACAAUGGGCGGAAGCCUGAUGCAGCAACGCCGCGUGCGGGAUGACGGCCUUCGGGUUGUAAACCGCUUUAGCCUGUGACGAAGCGUGAGUGACGGUAAUGGGUAAAGAAGCACCGGCUAACUACGUG
rnacentral:rRNA from 1 species